rnacentral:rRNA from 1 species
UACGGAAGGCAGCAGUGGGGAAUAUUGCACAAUGGGCGCAAGCCUGAUGCAGCCAUGCCGCGUGUAUGAAAAAGGCCUUCGGGUUGUAAAGUACUUUCAGUCGUGAGGAAGGUGUUAAGGUUAAUAACCUUAGCAAUUGACGUUAGCGACAGAAGAAGCACCGGCUAACUCCGUGCCAGCAGCCGCGGUAAUACGGAGGGUGCGAGCGUUAAUCGGAAUUACUGGGCGUAAAGGGCACGCAGACGGUUAAUUAAGUUGGAUGUGAAAUCCCCGGGCUUAACCUGGGAAUGGCAUUCAAGACUGGUUAGCUAGAGUCUUGUAGAGGGGGUAGAAUUCCAUGUGUAGCGGUGAAAUGCGUAGAGAUGUGGAGGAAUACCGGUGGCGAAGGCGGCCCCUGGACAAAGACUGACGCUCAUGUGCGAAAGCGUGGGGAGCAAACGAGGGAUUAGAUACC